UAAGGGCAGAGACUCCGGUUGGAAGAGAAAGAUCAUCUUCGGGGCUCCCAAGUGCUAAUGAAUUAAUGAGGAAGCCAAGCUAAUGAGUCGAAAGAGGCAUUCUUGUCAGAGGUUUUGAGGCUUGAGGAAGAAGUUUGGUGCCAUCUCUGACACUGGCAGGUCCUUCCUAAGAGUCUGAGCAGGAAUGGUGAUGACCUCAAUGGACAACCCAUCUGACUUCUACGAGGUGGACAGAGAGAAGUGACGUCAGUUGAUUUCACCUGUCAUCCUCAAGAGACGAAUGUGGAGCUCACACACUGCAGGCUCUGAGAGAAACCUCUUCCCAGAGCUAUGCUAGAAUGUUGGCUAUUGGUUUGACAUCUGAGCUCUCGGAAUGUUGGAAGUAGUGGGCUGCAUGCCACUGUCCCUUACCAAGGGUCGGAGUUCUGCCUGCCUGGAGUCCUUCAGAAAUCCAUUCCCUUUGGAACCUAUUACUUCCUUGUAUGAGCAUGUCCUGCUGGCUCAACAUGUCAUUUAGGUCUGACCAGCAGGUGUCCCAUGUAUAGUUAGUUUGCAGAUAAAAUCUAGAGGAACCUUUAAGCUUGCAUUUCAGACAAAGAAAACUUCAUUUUAAGUUUAAGAUGUCUUAAAUAUAGUAUGGUCUAUACUUAUGCUGAAGAACAAAUGUCUACCUGAAAUUCACAUUUAA